rnacentral:rRNA from 1 species
CAGCCGCCGCGGUAAUACGGAGGGUGCAAGCGUUAUCCGGAUUUAUUGGGUUUAAAGGGUCCGUAGGCGGAUCUGUAAGUCAGUGGUGAAAUCUCACAGCUUAACUGUGAAACUGCCAUUGAUACUGCAGGUCUUGAGUAAAUUUGAAGUGGCUGGAAUAAGUAGUGUAGCUGUGAAAUGCAUAGAUAUUACUUAGAACACCAAUUGCGAAGGCAGGUCACUAAGAUUUAACUGACGCUGAUGGACGAAAGCGUGGGGAGCGAACAGGAUUAGAUACCCCCGUAGUCCCUGUCUCUUAUAC